rnacentral:rRNA from 1 species
CACGUAGGGCGCGAGCGUUGUCCGGAAUUAUUGGGCGUAAAGAGCUCGUAGGCGGCCUGUUGCGUCCGCUGUGAAAGCCCGGGGCUUAACCCCGGGUCGGCAGUGGAUACGGGCAGGCUAGAGGUAGGUAGGGGAGAAUGGAAUUCCCGGUGUAGCGGUGAAAUGCGCAGAUAUCGGGAGGAACACCGGUGGCGAAGGCGGUUCUCUGGGCUGUAACUGACGCUGAGGAGCGAAAGCAUGGGGAGCGAACAGG